ACGGGUGAGUAACGCGUGGGUAACCUACCCUGUACACACGGAUAACAUACCGAAAGGUAUGCUAAUACGGGAUAAUAUAUUUGAGAGGCAUCUCUUAAAUAUCAAAGGUGAGCCAGUACAGGAUGGACCCGCGUCUGAUUAGCUAGUUGGUAAGGUAACGGCUUACCAAGGCGACGAUCAGUAGCCGACCUGAGAGGGUGAUCGGCCACAUUGGAACUGAGACACGGUCCAAACUCCUACGGGAGGCAGCAGUGGGGAAUAUUGCACAAUGGGCGAAAGCCUGAUGCAGCAACGCCGCGUGAGUGAUGAAGGCCUUCGGGUCGUAAAACUCUGUCCUCAAGGAAGAUAAUGACGGUACUUGAGGAGGGAGCCCCGGCUAACUACGUGCCAGCAGCCGCGGUAAUACGUAGGGGGCUAGCGUUAUCCGGAUUUACUGGGCGUAAAGGGUGCGUAGGCGGUCUUUCAAGUCAGGAGUGAAAGGCUACGGCUCAACCGUAGUAAGCUCUUGAAACUGGGAGACUUGAGUGCAGGAGAGGAGAGUGGAAUUCCUAGUGUAGCGGUGAAAUGCGUAGAUAUUAGGAGGAACACCAGUCGCGAAGGCGGCUCUCUGGACCGUAACUGACGCUGAGGCACGAAAGCGUGGGGAACAAACAGGAUUAGAUACCCUGGUAGUCCACGCUGUAAA
rnacentral:rRNA from 1 species